UGGACAAAGGCAGCACCCUGGAAGUGAGCCAGAGGACAGGUUGGAAGAGGAAGGUUCCGGGCCUGCCCCAAGGACAGAAGUUUCCUCUGCGGGAGGGCAGCUGCCCCAGCAGGCAGGCCCCUUACGUAGCUGCUCUGAGUAAACGGGGCCAGCGCCCCGUCUCAGCAGGGACACUCCUACCCCGGCUGCUCCUGCAGGCCUGGAGUUCGACAGAAGUGUACAGAGGCUUCUGGCAACACGGAUUGCCGUCUACCUGAUGACCUUUCUCAUCGUGACAGUGGCCUGGGCAGCACACACAAGGUUGUUCCAAGUUGUUGGGAAAACAGACGACACACUUGCCCUGCUCAACCUGGCCGCAUCAUGGCUGUGAUGCCCUCCCUCCUUCCAGGCCUGCAUGAUGACCAUCACCUUCCUGCCUUACACGUUUUCGUUAAUGGUGACCUUCCCUGAUGUGCCUCUGGGCAUCUUCUUGUUCUGUGUGUGUGUGAUCGCCAUCGGGGUCGUGCAGGCACUGAUUGUGGGGUACGCAUUCCACUUCCCGCACCUGCUGAGCCCGCAGAUCCGGCGCUCUGCCCACAGGGCUCUGUACCGACGACACGUCCUGGGCAUCGUCCUCCAAGGCCCAGCCCUGUGCUUUGCAGCGGCCAUCUUCGCUCUCUUCUUUGUCCCUUUG
rnacentral:sRNA from 1 species